UGCAUACUACAUUUUUAUUUUAAAUCAAGUACAUUACACUUUGAGACACUUCAAUGAUUAAAUACACACAAAUAAGAAUUCCUUUGCAUCUAUUCAGUUACAGAAACAAAUAAAAAUGCGUGAUAAAGCUGUGCUGGAAACAAGUUAUUUUGGCAUUGUUCAUUCUUAGUGUUUCUUAAAUUAACAAAUACAAACAUCAGAAAGAAAAGAUGUCUUAAAAACUAUGUAACACUUGAAUAUGAAAACUUAGCACCUUGGACCAGUCAAAUUUUUUUUUGACUGGAUUGUUGUGGAUAAGAAGCAAUGAUAUUGAGUGGGGAAAAUAAUGAUGUGAUUAAAUAAUCAUUCAUUAUCAAUGAAAAAGGUUAGAGAACAUUUCCCUUCCCGAACGGCUUCUUGUGGAUUGGGAAGGCAGACAAAAACAAACACUUUGAUAAGAUUCAUUCUGUUAUUAGGUGAAAGUGAUUAGACUCCUUUGAUGUCAAUAUCUGUCAAAGUUUGUUACACAAGCCUCAUCCACAACUUUUGAAUGGAUUCCCAUUGUUGAUGUAAAAACAUGCCAAACCUACCAACAUAAAUACUAUACAUUAUGUGCUACCAAAAAUAUACAGUAAAAUAUAUUUUUAGAGAUGGUAAGGUUCACAUAAAGGUAUUUCUAAUGAUCAACUAACGCUUACCCUAAGGCACUGCUCAAAAGCAAAAUAAUGAACAAAGAUGUGAGGCAGUGAGAACUAGCUAUGGAAACUGACAACACACAAUCACUAACAUGUCUCCACAACUAGAACUCAUCACAUUAUUGAAACAUAGGCUGCAACAAAUAAACACCAAAAACAAAAUGCAGUUUUAGAUAGGCCUAAACAUGUUACAAAAACAUUUACCCCUCUACAGGGUGGACUUUAACUGACCAGAGGUAUCAACAAGCAGGUCUGUGAUAUGCCCAGUGUGGAAAACAACAACACUACACAUGGUGAUUUUGUACGCACAAGAGAGGCUAUCAAGAAGGGACUAUCUGCCACGUACUAUCCCUUUGAGACCACAGCUUAAGUAUCUCCAUCGACGUACAUUAACAGUCAAACGUCUGGACACACCUAUUCACUCAAGGACGUUUCUUUUGAUUUACUAUUUUCCACAUUGUAGAACACUAGUGAAGACAUCUAAACUGUGAAAAAACAAAAUCAAAAAACAUUUCAUAUUGCAGCCGUUUUCCUUGAUGAAAGCUUUGCACACACUUCACACUUUUUCACUGAGUUCAAAUAAAAGACUCAACACCAACUGCUCAUAGGAGACUGUGUGAAUCAGGUAAAUAUGGUUGAAUUGCUGCAAAGAAACACCAUUAAGAAGAUACUUGCUUGGGCCAACAUGAUAAAUGGACAUUAGACCGGUGGAAAUCUGUCCUUUGGUCUGAUUGGUCCAAAUAAGAGAUUUCUGGUUCCAAACAAUGUGUCUUUGUGAGACGCAGAGUGGGUGAACGGAUGACCUUUACAUCUGUGGUUCCCACCGUGAAGCAUGGAGGAGGUGUGAUGGUGCUUUGUUGGUGACACUGUCAUUGAUUUGUUUAGAAUUAGACUCAACCAGCAUGGCUACCACAACAUUAUGCAGUGAUACACCACCCUGUCUGGUUUGCACAUAGUGGGACUAACAUUUGUUUUUCCACAGGACUUUGAACAAAAACACACAGCCAGACUGUGUAAGGGUUAUUUAACCAAGAAGGAGUGUUGUAGUGCUGCAUCAGAUGACCUGGCCUCCACAAUCAACUGACCUCAAGCCAAUAUAGACGUUUUGGGAAGAGUUAGACCACAGAGUGAAGGAAAAGCACUCACAAGAGCUGAUGUGGGAAGUCCUUCAACACUGUUGGAAAAGCGUUCCAGGUGACUUAAUCAUGAAGCAGGUUGAAAGAAUGCCAAAAGUGUGCAAAUCAAGGCAAAGGGUGGCUACUUUGAAGUAUCUAAAAUAUAAAUGCAUGAUUUGUUUAACACUUUUUUGGUCACUUCAUGAUUCCAUACGUGUUAUUUCAUAGUUUUGAUGUCUUCACUAUUAUUCUAAAAUGUGGAAAAUAGUAACAAUAAAGAAAUACACGAGAAUAAGUCGGCGUGUCCAAACAUUUGACAGGUGCUGUAUGUUUCAUUUUAAGUCAGUGCAAAAUUUAGGCAAUGUUAACUUAGCAUAGUUAGGCUGAUGUCUUCACUCAGACCUCUUUAAAACACAAAUAAAACAAAAGAACAUUGUCAAACCCCCAUGCUCUCUUAAUUCUUACAGUAGUAGAGAAUACAAAGAUGUAUAGGCAUAGUCUAGGUACAGUAUUUGGAUCAGUCGGGCAUAGACAGCAGUGGUAAAACAUUUACUGUAAUUUUUAUAUAAGUUGUUCUGGUUUCGGGAAACAAGAAUGAAUACAUCAUGUGAAUUAUGCAGACAAGUUGUGCUAUGUGAUGUGCUGUACUAACGGAACCACUAGGGGGUGCUAAGACACACAUGAAAGUGAAGUAUUUUUUCAUUUUGAAGAUGCAUAUUGAUUUUACAUAUAUUUUCAUGAACAUAAAAGAAAAACAAAUUCAUAAAAUCUGUUUUUUACAAUAUCGUAUAAGCCAUACAUUCAGCAAAAAUAUGUUAAGUUUAGAUGGGGCACCUUUAAGAUUUCUUUGAAGACAUUCUGCUAAUAGCAUUAGAUCCCAAUCGUAUAUGGUAAUACGUGACUUUGUAUAAAGAUACAUUUUCAAGAAAACCAAUAAAUACUAAAUGAAAUAUAUUAAUAUUUGGGGAAAUAAAAGUAGCAAUUUUUCACUGUUCUUGGAGGAAAGAAUACUGAUAUAGAUUAAUUUAUGAAAAAGCGAAUCAGCAAAAUUGAAUUGCGGCCAUUGCUAAAUGUUACAAACAGCCCUUACAAUAAAACAAGUUCACUACGUAGGUGUACAUUGUGGAACGUUCUGAAAGAAAAUGUUGAGCAGUAAUGCAAAAUCAACAAUACUUAAUGAUUUACUGUUCAUGAUAUGCAACCCUCCAUUUCCUAUUCUCAUACUUACCCACAACAAUGUAGUUACUGCCUGUGCAAUUAUGUAAUCUAUGCUCAGCAAGUAUUACACCUCUGUUGCCAGUUGAGACUGAACAUGGAAGAUACUUUGAUAUAGAAUAAACAAGUUAUUACUUAUUGAAUCCAGAUCACCCAGGACUUAAUACUGAAGGAAACAUUAGGCCAUUUAAAGUCAUAGACUGCAUUUUCAAAUGAGAUUAACAUUAGAAAUGUAGUUAAAUAAUGUAGUCUAUAGGCUUUUGUCAGCUUUUUUUGUAAGAUCCUAUCAGUGACCUGUGUAACAGUAAUAUAUAUGCAACCUUCAGUACUUCAUUUCACUUUUGUACUUCCCACCUUUUUCUAGCAUUAAAACUGCCAUAACAGCAAAGUUAAAAUAGUUUAUAGAGGUAAGAUGCUAAAGUGUAUUCACAAAUAUAAUUUUGCACACAACAUCCUUUGUGUAGUGAGAACUGCCAGGCAGCUGGUACGAUACACGUUCACUCGAUAGUGUUACUCCUCAGCACCAGGUGAGACAUCCCUUCCACAACCAGAAAGUGAACCCAGACCCACAUCAAAAACCUCCCAGUUGCACAAAACAAAAAUAACUAUACUAAAAACCACAGAAGAAACAUAACUAAAGUGUACCAGCUUUAACUGUGUACCAUGCUUAAGCCUGCCCUGCAAGUGGCCUGGCUGUGCAUAACACUUUUUCCCCAGAGACCCAGACACACACACACACACACGCAAACGCACACAUGCACACACACACACACACACAUACACAUACACACACAUACACACACAUAUACACACACACACAUAUACACACACAUAUACACACAUAUACACACACAUACGCGCAGACACAUACGCGCAGACACAUACGCGCAGACACAUACGCGCAGACACACACCCAGAAUAGAAUAAAUCCUUAAAUAAACUGCGCUCUCAAACAGACAGACUCCGGUCCUCUAUGUGAGUGAUGUACAUACAUUUUAUGAUGACAUGGAGAGAGGAAUGGAAGACAUAAGGUGGGUUUCCCUGACGCUGCACCUCCUAAUGUGAUAGGGAGAGAGGCGAAGAUGAGGGUUGAAGACAGACACUGGUUGUCCACUGAGUUCUGUCAAUUGCCCGCUCUGUGUGUUGUGAUGUCACACAAGUCCUCUCUAUCCCAUACUCCCCAAAAAAGAUCAUCUAAGGCCACAAUGUUCGUUGAGAAAGUGUAAACACUGCAAAAGAAAAGAGAAAAGACAAUCCGUCACACACAACUUGUGGGAACCCUUUUUAAAGGUCCAAUAUGUAGUUGUGUGUACAAUCCAAAUAAACUCAAACAUACGUUUUAGUUAUGCACCUGUCACUGACUAAAAGCAAG
ensembl:lncRNA